rnacentral:rRNA from 1 species
CCAAACCUGGUUGAUCCUGCCAGUAGUCAUAUGCUUGUCUCAAAGAUUAAGCCAUGCAUGUCUAAGAAUAAGCCCUUGAACGGUGAAUCUGCGAAUGGCUCAUUAAAUCAGUUAUUGUUUAUUUGAUGGUACCUUACUACUUGGAUAACCGUAGUAAUUCUAGAGCUAAUACAUGCGUCAAGCCCUGACUUCGGA